CUGAACCACAUGCCAUACAGCAGCAACGCUGUUUGUUAAUUUUGUAUCUUUAAAAUUAAAACAGCGGUGAUAUCAAACAAAUACUCUAGGAGUAUCUACACAAAAUACUCUACAACUUCAGUAUUCAAUAGAUAAUUAAAUUCUGCCAUCUACAAGUUCUAAAACAUCUGACAAGAUAACUGACUGAAUCUGUUUUAGACAGCAGUAUGGUUAACUUUAAAAUUCGAUAUCUCCAAAACUGCUGAACCAAAAAUUAUGAACUUCUGCUGGAAGUAAGAACUUUUAUCCCUCUACAAAAGUCUCCAUAGUUGGAAGAGCCAAUUCGGCCAUUUACUAGAUGAAACCCACCAGUGAACAGACCCACUCAUUUUUGUCAGGUAAACAGGAACAGCCACAGUAAAACAAACAUAACUGGAGUUUCACAAAUCAUAUGAAUGCACUCUUUAACAAUCUGGAAAGCUUAUAAAAUUAUCUACAACUUCUUUUACCAACCCACAGUUUAAUUCUGUUGAUAAAAUUGCCUAAAUCUUAAGAGAACAGAUUCUGCACAGAAUUAUGAGACUGAAAAACUGCUAUAGUAAAACUGCAAUAACUUUCUGGUCGGAUGUCCGAUUGAGGUGUUCUUCGCGGCCACGGAAAGAUCUACAAAUUAUCUACGACUCAUACCCAGACUUUUUAUUUUUUUGAGGCCACUAAGACCACGGAAAACUGGCAUGAACAGAAACUGUCGAAUCUGCCAUUCUGCAGAAAACUAAAUUCGAGAUCAAAACCUAACCCCACAUCAAAUCCAACCUCUAAUCCUUUAAUUCCCAUGAUCCACAACCUCCAAAAGCCUAUAAUUACAGGGAGGAACAAGGAUCUCAUCCAUACCUAGGGUUUCCCCAAGAAAUCUUCAAGAGGAGAUGGGGAAGAACAUCUCCUUGAUCCUCUCUUCCUCUUCAAUUCAACGUGCCCCUCCUUUUCUCGAUCCUUGCUGCGUAGGGGGAGAUCUUGGGGGAGGAAGCAAUGGAGGAUGGCUGCCAUAGGGGGAGGGGGCGUCCAGCCAAGGGGGAGAAAAAGGGGGUGGCGGCCAAGAGGGGGGGUGAAGGGAAAAAAAAGGGGUGGCCACCUAGGGUUUUUGUGGGAGAAAGAAACGACGCCUCAGAUGACUUCUAUCUUUGCAUCCAAUGGCCCACAACCCUUUACCUCAUCCACGCACCAGAGAUUAACUUUUGGUCAACAUUUUUUUGGGAUAUUACACUCUACCCCCCUUAAAAAGAAUUCGACCUCGAAUUCGGCCACUCCAAGCAAAACACCCAAGGUACCCCAUAUAGCACCACAAUUCAAAACAUGGGUCCAUUAUUGGUCUUAAUUAACACAAGAACUUCUACCUUGGACUAAUUGUCUAAGGAAACUACACGACCUGACAUCAAGCAUGAAACAACAUGUAAUGAAGCUCAAAGCAUGUCAUAGUUGCAAUCAACACUCCAAUUUCACACCAUCAAAUUUGGAUGCAGCUAUACAUCAACAUCAAUGUCUUAAGACAACACUCUUUUAUGAAGGGGUAAUAUGCACCAAGCACAACCCUUACCAACUUCAACCAUUAAUUUUAAUUAAAUGGUGAAACAUCUACACCCGACGAAUGUAUAAGAAGAUCAAACACCUCACCUUAAAGCACUAUGAAACAAGUAGUUCUAUUGGAACAAAACUCCUAAUCUUCCUAAACCUUAUUCUUGCCAUCAUGAAAAGAUAAUCAUGUAAUCUAACAUUCCUUGCACCCCACCAAAAGGGAGAAAAUCUAUAGAACUAAUGGAGCAAUAAAGCCAAAAGAAGCCAAUAACAUCUUGUGCGGCAUAGUUCAUCGAAGAAAUGCCAAAAACUCUACAUAGAGCACUGAUAGCCCAACAACAACACAAUACUUGCUUAACCCAUGUCACUAUACUUCAUUCAACAUCUCAACUAAGAAAAAUAUCCAACUAGUAAGGAUAACCUACACAUAAUAUAAGUCUUCAUCUACUGUAGUUCAGAAACUUACAUUUCAUUCUAUCAUACGAUGCACUCAAAGUACCAGACAUACAAAGUCAAUAAUAAUAACCCCUAAUCCUUCACACAUUUGACAAACAUAUUAAGCUGAUGUAAACACCACAUGAUCUAGGAAUAGGUGACUAGCCACACCCAACCAACUCUAGGCUAGGCAAGGACUUCCUUCAAACCAAUAGAUAGGUGGUCUAAAAAAAAUGGCUCCACAAGCAUGCAUCGAAAAGGGAACCAUCAGAUCCUCAAUGUAUCAAUACAUAAUCAAUGGAUCAAGAGAAUCAAAGAUUUAUUCUACAAUUAGUAUGACUAACAGGCAACCACUUUAAACCACAUCUAGGCUUUGUGGCAACUAAAACACACAAUAUGAGAGAGACAUGUAAGCCAUUCUGGCUAUGAAAAGACUUCCCCCAAAAAUCCAUAUAAAGUACCAAUAUUCAUUUCUUUCAAAACUGGUUUCUCAACAUAAACAAUCAUUCUUUGCAAUGAUAGUUGGAGCUAUCCACCAACCGCUCACAACUUAAAUUCAAAUUGAUGAUUACCUUGUACCCCAAAACACGCAAUUCACACUCCUCUUAGAAACAUCCACAAUCAAGCAUAUAUAACAAUAUUAUUGUAAUAAAACUCAACCAUGAAAAACAUGGUGAAAACAACAUAGGCAUACUUGUAUAUCACAAGCAUAAUAACAACUUCAUUCUCACCAAUGACCAGCGAUAUCUACCGCAUUAAUAAAACAAUAUCAAAAUUUCAGAAAUAAAUUAUAUCAAGCAUUAAGCCAUAAACAACUUACCACAUCACCGUAAAGGAAUAGGGAGGGGUGAAACUAUUGUCAUCUGCACUCCAAAGACAUUAAUAUAUAUCAAAGAUAUUUGAACCCAUACCCUUCCUAUAUGUGCAAGUGUGUCAAAUUUAUCUUCAAAUUGCCAAGAAUCUAAAGCCUAUGCUUUGAUACCAACUGUAACACCUCGGGAUCCACAAACACCCCAGAAUGCUACUAAACUACACAUCUAAUAUUCAUAUAUAAAAUUUCGACAGCAUCUCCUUUGAAAAUUGCAUAAAUGGGGGAAGCAACAAAGUAUAAAUAGAUAUCAUGAUAAGAAAACAUAUAAGACAUUAAUAAUCUGCUAGCAAUGGGAAGACAACCAUAACAACAUGAACUGAAUUAAUCAGUGCGCACGACUAGUUAAAAACAAACAUCCUUUGACAAGAAGUUUCUAAUUAAAUCAUGGCUGCGUCUGGGCAGCAUUAUUAUGAGAAUGAAGGUGGAUGUGCUGCUACUUCCCACUCCCCUUGAUGAGCAACAAGCACCUGCAUUGAGUAAUGCAAGAGUGAGAUGAAACAUCUCAGCAAGCUAAUUGUUCUGACGAGAUAUUUAAACCACAAAUUGAAUUCAUCAACAUUUUAAAAGAGUCACAAUUAAAAAUCAGAAAUGCUUGUAGAUAUAGAACUCAGUAGUCCCACUAUAACCAAUACCAUCUCAUUUCCUCGAACAACCACAAUAGGUUCUAUAACACUUCCCUGCGUCAACAAUACCUGCAAAUAUCACUUCAAUGUAUGCAUAGGAAUGCAAUGUGUAGGUACUCUAUCUUCAUACCUCUGGGGGUAUAAAACCACAUUAUCUGCAAAUAUCACUUCAAUGAAUGCAUAUGAAUGCAAUGCAUAUGUCCUCUGCCUUCAUACCUCUAAGGGUAUGAAGCCGCAUCGUACCCCUUCUCGGGCAACGUACGAUGCUAAGUUGUACCGGUACGGUCGGACCAUAGGUCACGACAAAACUUCAUAUGCAAAUGAGUCAUGCAAUGUAUAUGGCAUGCUACAUUUAUCAAUAAACUUCACUUCCUUCAGAUACAACACAAACCUCAAAUAAUACUUCAUUUACCUUCAGAUACAAUACCAACCUCAAAUAAUACUUCAUUUACCUUCAGGGGUGUGAAUUAAUCUCAUGAGUCAUACUCAAAUCAUAAUCAUCAUCAAUAUAUGAUUGAGCAUCAGUAUAAUGCAAGCAAGUAAAGCAUCACCAUAGAGUCCAAUUAUGAAAGAAUCUGAUACUUCUGAAUAUUAGAGUGUAGGCGAUAGAAAUAACAGGUCAGAACGGAAGCAACCACCGCUACAUUCACUUGCCUUCAUCGAAGAAGAAGAAAUGUACUAGACAUGAUCUGGAGUGUAGCCACCUGCUAGUGGGCAUAAAACUUAGUACAAAUAUUUCACAAACAUUUGCCAUCAAUCAACAAAACACUCCUACACUUGAAACCAAGACCCAGUGGAAAGACUCCCACCCUGAACCACAUGCCAUACAGCAGCAACGCUGUUUGUUAAUUUUGUAUCUUUAAAAUUAAAACAGCGGUGAUAUCAAACAAAUACUCUAGGAGUAUCUACACAAAAUACUCUACAACUUCAGUAUUCAAUAGAUAAUUAAAUUCUGCCAUCUACAAGUUCUAAAACAUCUGACAAGAUAACUGACUGAAUCUGUUUUAGACAGCAGUAUGGUUAACUUUAAAAUUCGAUAUCUCCAAAACUGCUGAACCAAAAAUUAUGAACUUCUGCUGGAAGUAAGAACUUUUAUCCCUCUACAAAAGUCUCCAUAGUUGGAAGAGCCAAUUCGGCCAUUUACUAGAUGAAACCCACCAGUGAACAGACCCACUCAUUUUUGUCAGGUAAACAGGAACAGCCACAGUAAAACAAACAUAACUGGAGUUUCACAAAUCAUAUGAAUGCACUCUUUAACAAUCUGGAAAGCUUAUAAAAUUAUCUACAACUUCUUUUACCAACCCACAGUUUAAUUCUGUUGAUAAAAUUGCCUAAAUCUUAAGAGAACAGAUUCUGCACAGAAUUAUGAGACUGAAAAACUGCUAUAGUAAAACUGCAAUAACUUUCUGGUCGGAUGUCCGAUUGAGGUGUUCUUCGCGGCCACGGAAAGAUCUACAAAUUAUCUACGACUCAUACAUAGACUUUUUAUUUUUUUGAGGCCACUAAGACCACGGAAAACUGGCAUGAACAGAAACUGUCGAAUCUGCCAUUCUGCAGAAAACUAAAUUCGAGAUCAAAACCUAACCCCACAUCAAAUCCAACCUCUAAUCCUUUAAUUCCCAUGAUCCACAACCUCCAAAAGCCUAUAAUUACAGGGAGGAACAAGGAUCUCAUCCAUACCUAGGGUUUCCCCAAGAAAUCUUCAAGAGGAGAUGGGGAAGAACAUCUCCU
rnacentral:lncRNA from 1 species